UCCCCCGUGGCGCAAUUGGCUAGCGCGUCUGACUGUUAAUCAGAAGGUUGGUGGUUCAAGCCCACCCGGAGGAG
rnacentral:tRNA from 1 species